AUUGAACGCUGGCGGCAGGCUUAACACAUGCAAGUCGAGCGAGCGGCGGACGGGUGAGUAAUGUUUGGGGAACUGCCUGAUAGAGGGGGAUAACUCCUGGAAACGGUAGCUAAUACCGCAUACCAUCAGAUGCCCCCAGAUGGGAUUGGCUAGUAGGUGGGGUAAGGGCUCACCUAGGCGACGAUCCCUAGCUGGUCUGAGAGGCUGACCAGCCAGCCUGGAACUGAGACACGGUCCAGACUCCUACGGACGGCAGCAGUGAGGAAUAUUGCACAAUAGGCGCAAGCCUGAUGCAGCCAUGCCGCGUGUAUGAAGAAGACCGUCGGGUUAUCAAGCACUUUAAGAGAGGAGGCGUUACUCGCAGAAGAAGCACCGGCUAACACCGUGCCAGCAGCCGCGGUAAUAC
rnacentral:rRNA from 1 species